rnacentral:lncRNA from 1 species
GCUCUCGGGCAUCGGUUUCUCCCAGCAAAGCUUGGAGGGUUUAGCUGCGCGGAGAGCUCAGCGAGCUCUUCUGUGUCUGUUUGGGGCGUGUGGGCUCCGGGAGCGUGAGGACCGGGAAGCUAGGAGGCUCCUUCCCUUCUGGCGGCUCCCUCACUGAGACCGGGCGGUUUGGUUGCGGGGGAAGUGGAGACGAGCCACCCUUGACCUUUGACUGCAAGAACUCACCUUGAGCAGGAUAGAGCAAACAUUGAGUGGGCCAGACACUGUUCUGAAAAAUACGCAGUCGACUUUUGAACAGCACAGGCUUGAACUGCAUGCGGCCACUAAUACUCGGACUUCCUUCUGCCUCUGCCAUCCCUAAGACAGCAAGACCCACCCCUCCUGCUCCUCAGCCUACUCGAUGUGAUGAUGAUGAGGAAACUGAGGCCUGGGACCUGAUGUGAGUUGUUCAGGUGGCCAAGGGAGGAACUGAACACAGAUUUGUGUGACUCCAAAACCCAAGUAUUUGGGCUGUUUUUUUCUCCUUUUGGUUUGUCACUUAUAACUUGCCUGUCCCACAUGUGGCCAUGACUCUGACUUUCAGUUCACCUGUGUCCCUGUGCCCAAACCUUUGCUUUGUCAGCCUCCCCCAUUAGACUAUGAGGUGCUUGAGGACAGGGGAAGGUGUCACCUGUCUCCACAUUCCAUUGAAAAAACUGGAUAACACUGAAAGAGGUUGUGUGCUGCAAAGAGCACUGGGCUGGGAGUCUGAACCCUGCCGGCAGGUGAGGCUCCUUCU